CUGGGGACUCGUGGUUUAACUUAUCUAGUAGUGUAAACUGAUUAAGUUUGACUUGAUUGUAUAUAUUUUAUCUUUUUAUAUUUUUUAUUUUUUUAUUUUUUUAUAUAAAAGUGCUACUAGGGUUUGUGUUUCUUGUGCAUGCAGCAGGAGACUAGACAUACUAGGAGCAAGAAAAAUACACAACCUCUUCUUGAAGGCUUA
rnacentral:lncRNA from 1 species